rnacentral:rRNA from 1 species
CUCACCAGGUCAGGACACGGUAAGGAUUGACGGACUGAAGGCUCUUUCUCGAUUCCGUGGAAAGUGGUGCAUGGCCGUUUUGGUUGGUGGAUCGAUCCGUCUGGUUAAUUCCGUUAACGAACGAGACCUCGGCACUCCGAAUAGCGCGGCGGACGUCGCGGCCUCCGGGCCGUCUUCCGCACGAGCUUCUUAGAGGGACCGUCCCCCGCCGGGGAAGGAGGUGCGAGGCAACGACAGGUCUGUGAUGCCCUUAGAUGUUCUGGGCCGCACGCGCAUUACACUGACGCGUCCAACGGGUGACUCCCGACCCGAAGGGGCCGGGGAAUCCGCAAGGCGCGUCGUGAUGGGGAUUGAACGUUGCAAUUGUGUUCACGAACGAGGAAUUCCUAGUAGGCGCGGGUCAUCAACCCGCGCCGAUUACGUCCCUGCCCUUUGUACACACCGCCCG